rnacentral:other from 4 species
AUUUCUCUGAGAUGUUUGCAAGCGGGCCAGUCCCCUGAGCCGAUAUUUCAUACCACAAGAAUGUGGCGCUCCGCGGUUGGUGAGCAUGCUCGGUUCGUCCGAGAAGCCUUAAAACUGUGACGGCACAUUCACCUUGAACCAAGGGUUCAAGGGUUACAGCCUGCGGCGGCAUCUCGGAGAUUCC